CAUGAACUUAGCUUGCUAAGUUUGAUGGCGACCGGCGCACGGGUGAGUAACACGUAUCCAACCUCCCGCUUACUCAGGAAUAGCCUUUCGAAAGAAAGAUUAAUGCCUGAUGGUAUCUUAAGCACACAUGUAAUUAAGAUUAAAGAUUUAUCGGUGUAAGAUGGGGAUGCGUUCCAUUAGAUAGUAGGCGGGGUAACGGCCCACCUAGUCUUCGAUCAGUAGCCGGACUGAGAGGUUGAACGGCCACAUUGGGACUGAGACACGGCCCAAACUCC
rnacentral:rRNA from 1 species